UUCUCAGGCUAAAGAGGGUGCUCCUGUUCAGUUACAGGAGGGACUGUGCAGUCAUCUAAGUCCCUUCCAGCCCUGAGAUUCUGGGAUUGUAUGUGUAUGUAGUCUUGGUUCAUAAAAGGGAUGCCAAGGACCAGUUGAUAGUCUGCCAAUGCUUCCCCUCAGGACUUCAACCUGUGGAACACUUCAAACUGCUGGUGACUUGCCAAGGAGAGAGAUGUGUCUGAAAAAGUCGAGCUCGUGAAAUAUUCUCUUCUCAUUCAUCAAGUCCAUUCCAAGUGUAAGCAAUGGUUGUGUCCUGUGGCAGCCAUGGUGGAAGCCGGGAUAACUUCAUGGCAUCUGCAUGAAUGUCACGCCAAUCUGGGGAAUACAUUUGGUACUCGAUGAACCCCAGGAUGGAGAAGAGCCUCUGAGGCAUAAAUGACUCUAGUAUCCCCAGUGAACUGAGCUCAAGUCUACUACCCUCCACACUUGAUCUGUUGCCUAGAGACAAAAGGUGAGUUUAAGAUACCCUUUCCCAUACCUGAGGGUGUAGUCUCAUCAGCUUUUACAAAGGUCUUCACCUAUAUAGGACAAACUUAUAAUUCGGGUUACUGUCUUAGAAAUUAAGGUAUUCCUGUAAU
rnacentral:lncRNA from 1 species